rnacentral:rRNA from 1 species
UACAGAGGCCUCGAGCGUUAGGCGGAAUCACUGGGCUUAAAGCGUGUGUAGGCGGACUUCUAAGUACCUUGUGAAAUCCCACGGCUCACCCGUGGAACUGCUCGGUAUACUGGUUGUCUUGAGCCACUUAGGGGCUACCGGAACAAAUGGUGGAGCGGUGAAAUGCGUAGAUACCAUUUGGAACGCCAAUGGUGAAAACAGGUAGCUGGGGCUGUGCUGACACUGAGACACGAAAGCCAGGGGAGCAAACGGG